rnacentral:rRNA from 1 species
UCCGUAGGCGGGCAAUUAAGUCAGAGGUGAAAUCCCACAGCUCAACUGUGGAACUGCCUUUGAUACUGGUUGUCUUGAGUUACAGUGAAGUAGAUAGAAUAUGUAGUGUAGCGGUGAAAUGCAUAGAUAUUACAUAGAAUACCGAUUGCGAAGGCAGGCUACUAACUGUAUACUGACGCUAAUGGACGAAAGCGUGGGGAGCGAACAGGAUUAGAUACCCUGGUAGUCC